UACGUAGGGUGCGAGCGUUGUCCGGAAUUAUUGGGCGUAAAGAGCUUGUAGGCGGUUUGUCGCGUCUGCUGUGAAGAUCCGAGGCUCAACCUCGGACUUGCAGUGGGUACGGGCAGACUAGAGUGUGGUAGGGGAGACUGGAAUUCCUGGUGUAGCGGUGGAAGUGCGCAGAUAUCAGGAGGAACACCGGUGGCGAAGGCGGAUCUCUGGGCCAUUACUGACGCUGAGGAGCGAAAGCGUGGGGAGCGAACAGG
rnacentral:rRNA from 1 species